GGUGGUUCUUGACUUGGAGGGCUGGAGCAUGGAGACCUGAGUCUGCUUCCCUUAGGCUACCACUUGGUGAGGGUCCCGGAGUAUGAUGGAUGACUUCACUUCAUUUGCUGCCUCUUGGAGCUUGCAUUCUGAGGAUACCUUGGAAUCCACAGGCUGAGAUUUCUGGGAUCAGCUGUGUCAGCUGUCCUCCUGUCUCUGGAGAUCCCUCCUGGUCCAUAUCGAGGAACUGAAUGAGAAGAAAAUAGAUCAAAAGUGGGAAGAAUCAAAAGCCAGGAGCUGACAAUGUAUUGUUCACAAGAAACACACUGAAAAUGAGAAGAUACAUAGAGUGAAGUUGAGGGGUUGGAACAGAAUAUUCUAUGCCUCCGCUGAUCCAGAGAAGGCAGGAGUAGUCAUCAUGACCACUAACACAGUUAAGUGCUAAAAUGGGUAUAAUUGGAAGUGAUGAACAGGGUAACUGCAUUAUGUUUGGAGAUACUCCGGAUAAUAAAGCUCUACCAAUAUUGGACCUGUAUGCAUCAAGAGUUAUUGGGCCCAGAUGUUUUAAGAAAAAAGUAAUGAGAUAGAGAUGGAAAUAGGUAACAACAUAAUAAUAGUGGGUAACUUUAAUUUUCCCUUCUCAGAACUAAAUAACUAACUGAAAAACAAAUAAGAAAGAAGGUAAGGAGAUGAAUAGAAC